CCUACGGGUGGCAGCAGUGGGGAAUAUUGGACAAUGGGCGAAAGCCUGAUGCAGCCAUGCCGCGUGUGUGAAGAAGGCCUUCGGGUUGUAAAGCACUUUCAGUGGGGAAGAAAGCCUUGGGGCUAAUACCCUCGAGGAAGGACAUCACCCACAGAAGAAGCACCGGCUAACUCCGUGCCAGCAGCCGCGGUAAUACGGAGGGUGCGAGCGUUAAUCGGAAUUACUGGGCGUAAAGCGCGCGUAGGCGGUCUGAUAAGCCGGUUGUGAAAGCCCCGGGCUCAACCUGGGAACGGCAUCCGGAACUGUCAGGCUAGAGUGCAGGAGAGGAAGGUAGAAUUCCCGGUGUAGCGGUGAAAUGCGUAGAGAUCGGGAGGAAUACCAGUGGCGAAGGCGGCCUUCUGGACUGACACUGACGCUGAGGUGCGAAAGCGUGGGUAGCAAACAGGAUUAGAUACCCGUGUAGUC
rnacentral:rRNA from 1 species